AAGUCGUAACAAGGUUUCCGUAGGUGAACCUGCGGAGGGAUCAUUACCGAGUUUACAACUCCCAAACCCCUGUGAACAUACCUAUACGUUGCCUCGGCGGAUCAGCCCGCGCCCUGUAAAAAGGGACGGCCCGCCCGAGGACCCUAAACUCUGUUUCUAUAAUGUUUCUUCUGAGUAAACAAGCAAAUAAAUUAAAACUUUCAACAACGGAUCUCUUGGCUCUG
rnacentral:misc_RNA from 1 species